UACGGGGGGAGCAAGCGUUGUUCGGAUUUACUGGGCGUAAAGGGCGCGUAGGCGGUCAGCACAAGUCAGUUGUGAAAUCUCCGGGCUUAACUCGGAAAGGUCAACUGAUACUGUGCGACUAGAGUGCAGAAGGGGCAGCUGGAAUUCUCGGUGUAGCGGUGAAAUGCGUAGAUAUCGAGAGGAACACCUGCGGCGAAGGCGGGUUGCUGGGCUGACACUGACGCUGAUGCGCGAAAGCCAGGGGAGCGAACGGG
rnacentral:rRNA from 1 species